rnacentral:rRNA from 1 species
GUGUCAGCAGCCGCGGUAAUACGUAGGUGGCAAGCGUUGUCCGGAUUUACUGGGCGUAAAGGAUGCGUAGGCGGACAUUUAAGUCAGAUGUGAAAUACCCGAGCUUAACUUGGGUGCUGCAUUUGAAACUGGGUGUCUAGAGUGCAGGAGAGGUAAGUGGAAUUCCUAGUGUAGCGGUGAAAUGCGUAGAGAUUAGGAAGAACACCAGUGGCGAAGGCGACUUACUGGACUGUAACUGACGCUGAGGCAUGAAAGCGUGGGGAGCAAACAGGAUUAGAAACCCUCGUAGUCC